GGUGUAGGCGGCAUGUCAAGUUGGAUGUGAAAUCUCCCGGCUAAACUGGGAGGGUGCGUUCAAAACUGAUGUGCUGGAGUGCAGCAGAGGAAAGCGGAAUUCCCGGUGUAGUGGCGAAAUGCGUAGAUAUCGGGAAGAACACCAGUGGCGAAGGCGGCUUUCCAGGCUGUAACUGACGCUGAGGCCCGAAGGCGUGGGGAGCAAACAGGAUCAGAUACCCUGGUAGUCCACGCAGUAAACGAUGGGUACUAGGUAUAGGGAGUAUCGACCCUCUCUGUGCCGAAGCUAACGCUUUAAGUACCCCGCCUGGGGAGUACGGUCGCAAGACUAAA
rnacentral:rRNA from 1 species